GAACGCACAUUGCGCCCUCUGGUAUUCCGGGGGGCAUGCCUGUUCGAGCGUCAUUACACCCCUCAAGCUCUGCUUGGUAUUGGGUGCCACCUCAGGGUGCACCUCAAAAUCAGUGGCGGUGCCGUCUGGCUUCAAGCGUAGUAAUACUUCUCGCUUCGGGGCUCAGGCGCGUGCUCGCCAUAACCACAAUUUUAUCAAGGUUGACCUCGGAUCAGGUAGGGAUACCCGCUGAACUUAAG
rnacentral:misc_RNA from 1 species